AGAAUCAACGCUGGCGGCGUGCCUAACACAUGCAAGUCGAACGCGAGAGUCCCCGCAAGGGACAAUUGAGUGGCAAACGGGUGAGUAACACGUGGGUGACCUGCCUUCGAGUGGGGGAUAACGUUCCGAAAGGAACGCUAAUACCGCAUGACAUCCUGCUCUUGGAAGAGCGGAGAUCAAAGCUGGGGAUCGCAACGACCUGGCGCUUGAAGGACGGGGCCCCGCGCCUGAUUAGCUUAGGUUGGGUGGGGUAACCGCCUAACCGAAGGCGACGAUCGAGUACUCCGGCC
rnacentral:rRNA from 1 species